rnacentral:rRNA from 1 species
ACGAAGGGUGCGAGCGUUAUUCGGAAUCACUGGGCGUAAAGGGUGCGUAGACGGUAUGUUAAGUUUGUCGUUAAAGACUCUGGCCUAACCAGAGGGUUGCGAUGAAAACUGGCAAGCUAGAGGGUGAGAGAGAGAAGUGGAAUUCCCGGAGUAGCGGUAAAAUGCGUGGAUCUCGGGAGGAACACCAAUGGCGAAGGCAGCUUCUUGGCUCAUUCCUGACGUUGAGGCACGAAAGCGUGGGGAGCGAACAGG